rnacentral:rRNA from 1 species
AGAGUGCAUUUGAAACUGUAUAUCUUGAGUACAGCAGAGGAGAACGGAAUCCUGGAGUAGCGGUGGAAUGCGUAGAUAUCAGGAAGAACACCAGUGGCGAAGGCGGUUCUCUAGGCUGUAACUGACGCUGAGGUACGAAAGCUGGGGGAGCGAACGGGAUUAGAUACCCCGGUAGUCCCAGCUGUAAACGAUGGACACUAGGUGUUGGGGGUUCGAUUCCCUCAGUGCCGCAGUUAACGCAUUAAGUGUCCCGCCUGGGGAUUACGGUCGCAUGACUGAAACUCAAAGGAAUUGACGGGGGCCCGCACAAGCGGUGGAGCAUGUGGUUUAAUUCGAUGCAACGCGAAGAACCUUACCGAGGUUUGACAUCCUGUGACUACCUGUGAAAGCAGG